rnacentral:rRNA from 1 species
GACGUAGGGCGCGAGCGUUGUCCGGAUUUAUUGGGCGUAAAGAGCUCGUAGGCGGUUUGUCGCGUCUGCUGUGAAAUCUGGGGGCUCAACCCCCAGCCUGCAGUGGGUACGGGCAGACUAGAGUGCGGUAGGGGAGAUUGGAAUUCCUGGUGUAGCGGUGGAAUGCGCAGAUAUCAGGAGGAACACCGAUGGCGAAGGCAGAUCUCUGGGCCGUAACUGACGCUGAGGAGCGAAAGCAUGGGGAGCGAACAGG